GACGAACGCUGGCGGCGUGCUUAACACAUGCAAGUCGAACGGAAAGGCCCUGCUUUUGUGGGGUGCUCGAGUGGCGAACGGGUGAGUAACACGUGAGUAACCUGCCCUUGACUUUGGGAUAACUUCAGGAAACUGGGGCUAAUACCGGAUAGGAGCUCCUGCUGCAUGGUGGGGGUUGGAAAGUUUCGGCGGUUGGGGAUGGACUCGCGGCUUAUCAGCUUGUUGGUGGGGUAGUGGCUUACCAAGGCUUUGACGGGUAGCCGGCCUGAGAGGGUGACCGGCGACAUGGGGACUGAGAUACGGCCCAGACUCCUACGGGAGGCAGCAGUGGGGAAUCUUGCACAAUGGGCGGAAGCCUGAUGCAGCAACGCCGCGGGCGGGAUGACGGCCUUCGGGUUGUAAACCGCUUUCGCCUGUGACGAAGCGUGAGUGACGGUAAUGGGUAAAGAAGCACCGGCUAACUACGUG
rnacentral:rRNA from 1 species